UACGUAGGGUGCGAGCGUUAAUCGGAAUUACUGGGCGUAAAGCGUGCGCAGGCGGUUUGAUAAGCCAGAUGUGAAAUCCCCGGGCUUAACCUGGGAACUGCAUUUGGAACUGUCAGACUAGAGUAUAGCAGAGGGGGGUAGAAUUCCACGUGUAGCAGUGAAAUGCGUAGAGAUGUGGAGGAAUACCAAUGGCGAAGGCAGCCCCCUGGGUUAAUACUGACGCUCAUGCACGAAAGCGUGGGGAGCAAACAGG
rnacentral:rRNA from 1 species